rnacentral:lncRNA from 1 species
CUGUGUCAAUAUCCCCAGCAAUGCAGCAGCACAGAUUUCAAAUCCCACAAUCUAGAGCAUAUACUAUGUAACUACACUGGUCUUCCAUCCUUCUAGUGGCUUUAUGCAGAUAUCCAUAACAGGAUCAACCUCAAUACUUGCCAAGAGCAAGCCUCCCAAUAAUGACAUCUCAAACUUACUCAAAGGAACUGGAAACAGAGGAAUACGGGGAAAGAGCAAAAGACAAGGAAAAGGAGCAGGGC